AGUAACAGGGAAGUGAUGGUUCAGCAAAGAGAGAGCAGAAAAUGGUUCAUUGGACUGAAACCUUCUUGAAUUAGCAGAGACUGACAGCCUUUUCAUUUGAGAAAAUACUUGCCAUCAUCAGUCCAGUUACCAGUGGGUUGAUGCUCACUCAGAAAAACAUGAUCAUAUCGCUGGAAGCAUGAGCAGAGAUGCCAAAGAAAGUGUGAAUAUAUAGUGCUCAGUAAUCUCUCACACAUCUAGAAAUGCAUCUUCGUAAGACACUUCUUUGUACAAAGAUCCAUCGACAGGAUCAUAAAUUCCUUAUAUACGUAAUGAACCAAAAAACUGUCUUGGAUCCUGCCAAGCAAUAGAUGGCAUAGGUUUCUCUGUCAUUAUUCUCAGAAAAAUGCCAUCACAUUUUUCAGAGGUCUCAGCAGGGAAGUCUAAGACCCUGUGACUAUACAGCGCCCAUGAACGUGUCCUUCAGCCUGCAAUGCUGUGAGCCCUUGGAUAUGCCAAAGAGACCACAUUCCUAGGAGACGGGAAAGAAAAUGGAAAAAAAAUUAGGCCACAGUGAAGCCUUUCUAAAAAGUGCUGGGGGAACCAUUGCUUAUCGUGAUAGUGACAAACUUCUGAGCCUUGAGGAUUCUCCCUUGUUCCUCCUCCAAGUCCAGGAAUCCAUGUAUGAAGCGUAUUACUUAAUUUCAAUUACAAUGUUAAUUAUAGAAGACAAGCGGUUACUGAAUCUUGCACCAUAAUUAAUCAACCUGAUAUUUACUUACUACAUUGUUCCUACCGGAUUAAGCUGUAGCUAGACAAGCAGGGCAAGGAAAGUGAGCGACAGAAGCAUUAUCAUGGCACACUGCCUCCCAUUGGGAAAGUUCAUCGUCCUUCUCAAAGAGACGCCUUCAGGGAUCAUGUAAUUUGAAUUCCCUGUGAAUUUGGUGUCAUCUUAGCUUGACCAGCUCUGGAAGAACAUAUUAACCUCCCCUUGUGAUUUUCAGAAAACCAUUCUAAUUUAGCAAGUAAUUAAGGGUCACAUGUAGGAUAAGGAGCUGGAUAAGCUUGGAUUACGCACAGGAAGCUUUGUCUCCACGGCAACCCCGGCGGAGAGCUGCUGGCACCGGGGUCAGGCCGUCACUGAAGCCCGCGCUGCGUUUCCACCUGGUGAGCCAGUGCUGGAAACAAACGCCCACAAAGCUGGUCAUCGCCAAAAACUCCGGGACAAAGGCUGCAGCCAGUGGGAGUGUUCUGCCGAGCGAGGUAGAGAGAAGUCCACGACAGUGACGCUUGACAGACCCCGUGUCUUUGUAAGCUAAAAUUUCUUCAGUCAUCAUCCAUGGCUUUCGCUCUGCGUGAAGCAGCCGGUGUCUGCGCAAGCUGCUGCCGCUAACGCUUGGCCUCCGAGCCCGACGUCAGCCUCUGGCUGGCUGCGGGCCGUGCCCACGGGCGGCAGGGCACGGGGCACCCCAGCUCAGGGCAUGACGCCCCGUCCCAGGGCUGCAGGCUCUCGGAGACAAUCUCCUAGAUCUGUCGGGGCAGGCACGGUGGGUUAACUCCACAGGCAUGGCUAAAAUAUCCAAGCAGCUCGUUCGGACACGUACCUUUUAUUUUUAGGUUUGAAACCAGGAAAACAACGUUUUUCUUUCUCACUCUGGAGGAACUUUCAGAUUUCUAUCAAAUUUAAAAUCAACUCCCCUGACUUCAGAAAUUCCUUGUUCUCACCAGCUUUUAUUUCUAUGAAAAUAUACAGGCUUUCCAGUGGAAGAGGCUUUUUAACAAGCAAAUAAGUUAACAUUUUCUGUUAACAUUGCUUAAUGUAAGAAACAUUAGGGAAUCCAAUUAUUGUGCUAUAAAGCAGCAUUACUGAAAUAUUAUAGGGUUCAAAGAGUACCUAUUUGAUGACCUAUUGGAUAUGAAAUGCUUUCUGAAUUCGUUUGUACCUUAGCUAUCUCCUGUGAUCUGUGAGGGAAAGAACCACGCAGGUUUUUUUCAAAGCUCUCUUCAAAACAAAUAAGCAUUCUCUACUUUUUGCUAAAAUCAGAUGACAUUGUCAUACUAUCCAUUUUAACAGUUGGGCCCAUUCUUGGAUCUGGAAUGCAGGUACAUCUAACUUUAUACCAUACUUUUUGUAAAUGCGUCUCCGUUGUGGAUAUAUAAAUGAGGACAAUUUUUAUUUCACCUUCUCUCUGCUAUUUUCAUGUGCAGCCUUUGUUUUGCAGUAGACCACUGCUGGCACUGCGGGAAUUGAGACACUCCACUCUCUCGAACAUGUACAUUAGAACUUGCCAUAAAAAGAAGACUGUGAUGAAGGUGAGCUGAGAACCUGUCAUGUUUGUGGCGGCCACUGGCCCCAGCGAGUCUCCAGUGAGCGUUACGUAUACUGCUGCUCACAGAAAACUGACCAAAGGAGAGCACUGCAAGGAGGAGAGAUCUGGAAAACACAGCUGUCAGUAAAGGCACACUUCUUACAUCAGUAAAGAUUAGAUGAAGGGGAGCACACCACAGCCCAUCAAACAUAAAAAUGGUUCUUUUUUAAAAAAAAAAAAAAAAAAAACAGAAACAAAUUUACCUUCUGUGUCGACAAGUAACUGUUAAAAAGAAUAGUGGCUUUAAAUGAGUAUUGGUUUUAAACAGGAAAUUUUGUAUUUGUUACAACUGCAGAGUACCUGGAGAGAGUGCUGACAAGGCAUAGCAUCUCUGCACAGGCUUUAUUGGGAAAAGUGUCUGUGCUGCAGUGUCUGCUUGGCACUAUGCAGGACAGAUCAUCUCUGAGAAUUCCUUCCUUUCUAUCUGCUUCCUGUGAUAAUCCUUGCUCUGCUUUAUUCUUCGUAUUUCACAGUUCCAGGCUAAAAAAAGUCACAAUAGUAUCUAAUUCCUCAAGUGGUAUUACCAGGACAGUUAAAGGACUUCAGCAGUGUUGUUAGUAAUAAUUUGUUUGCACGUAAAAAUGCUGUACAGACUGAGAUAGGGACAGAGAACAUUCUCUGGUUAUUUUAUUAUUUUAUUUAUCGUGCUACAUCUUUGGUUCCCCUGGCCUGGACUAACAUUAGAGUUUCUAAAAUAAAGUAUCCUUGUUCAAACA